AUUGAACGCUGGCGGCAGGCUUAACACAUGCAAGUCGAGCGGUAGCACAAGAGGGCUUGCUCUCUGGGUGACGAGCGGCGGACGGGUGAGUAAUGUCUGGGAAACUGCCUGAUGGAGGGGGAUAACUACUGGAAACGGUAGCUAAUACCGCAUAGCGUCGCAAGACCAAAGAGGGGGACCUUCGGGCCUCUUGCCAUCAGAUGUGCCCAGAUGGGAUUAGCUAGUAGGUGGGGUAAUGGCUCACCUAGGCGACGAUCCCUAGCUGGUCUGAGAGGAUGACCAGCCACACUGGAACUGAGACACGGUCCAGACUCCUACGGGAGGCAGCAGUGGGGAAUAUUGCACAAUGGGCGCAAGCCUGAUGCAGCCAUGCCGCGUGUGUGAAGAAGGCCUUCGGGUUGUAAAGCACUUUCAGCGAGGAGGAAGGUGGUGAACUUAAUACGUUCAUCAAUUGACGUUACUCGCAGAAGAAGCACCGGCUAACUCCGUG
rnacentral:rRNA from 1 species